rnacentral:rRNA from 1 species
GUGAACGCUGGCGGUAGGCCUAACACAUGCAAGUCGAACGGCAGCACAGAGGAGCUUGCUCCUUGGGUGGCGAGUGGCGGACGGGUGAGGAAUACAUCGGAAUCUACCCUGUCGUGGGGGAUAACGUAGGGAAACUUACGCUAAUACCGCAUACGACCUUCGGGUGAAAGAGGGGGCUCGCAAGACCUCUCGCGAUUGGAUGAGCCGAUGUCGGAUUAGCUAGUUGGCGGGGUAAAAGCCCACCAAGGCGACGAUCCGUAGCUGGUCUGAGAGGAUGAUCAGCCACACUGGAACUGAGACACGGUCCAGACUCCUACGGGAGGCAGCAGUGGGGAAUAUUGGACAAUGGGCGCAAGCCUGAUCCAGCCAUACCGCGUGGGUGAAGAAGGCCUUCGGGUUGUAAAGCCCUUUUGUUAGGAAAGAAAAGCGACCGGCUAAUACCCGGUUGUUCUGACGGUACCCAAAGAAUAAGCACCGGCUAACUUCGUGCCAGCCGCCGCCGUAAAAC